CCCAGCAGGAACCAGCUCUUGGAAGGCAUUUGUGUGUAUCUUCAGCACCUAGAAGAUGGCAGAAGAGUCAAAGGAAUAGGAACUUGAAUUUGAAACUGGAGGCCUGUGUCUGCUGCACCACCUUGAGGUUAUCAUGGAUUUCUGUGAGAGACCGCUUUCCCAGAGACAGAGAUUUCUAAAUGAGGACGGGAACUCAGCUAACACUGGACAUGCUGGCCAAGAUGUGGCCACAGGAGACGGCUCAACAGUGGAAGCUCCUACGGUGGCCACAGUCUGGCCACAGCACCUGUGGGCUCUGUCCAGGCUGGGAAAUCCCUGUGUCUCGUAUCCCAGGUGUUCUGGGCUCAGGGCUGUGAGAACCAGGGCCUCCCGGGGAAUCGCUGUCUCUUAAGCAAGCUAAGUGGCUCCUGGAGAGCCACUCAUAAAACCCUUGCCGGAUUUGUCAGAUUCUUUUUAGUUUUGGUGGUGUGGUUUAUGUCUUUGGGAUGGUUACCUCAGGAGUCAUCCACCACGUCCUUAUCAAAGAGGGGAAGUUGCAACAAAGCAGAGGUGUGAUAAAGACCACAUUCAUUUUGCUAACAAUAUCAACGACAGUAAUAGUAACAUCAUUUGUCGAGCCUCCUGGGCUUGGGGGAUUCAAGGAUCAACUGGAG
rnacentral:lncRNA from 1 species